AUUGAACGCUGGCGGCAUGCUUUACACAUGCAAGUCGAACGGUAACAGGGAGCUUGCUCCGCUGACGAGUGGCGAACGGGUGAGUAAUGCAUCGGAACGUACCGUGUAAUGGGGGGAUAACGUAGCGAAAGUUACGCUAAUACCGCAUACGCCCUGAGGGGGAAAGUGGGGGACCGCAAGGCCUCACGUUAUACGAGCGGCCGAUGUCGGAUUAGCUAGUUGGUGGGGUAAAGGCCUACCAAGGCGACGAUCCGUAGCGGGUCUGAGAGGAUGAUCCGCCACACUGGGACUGAGACACGGCCCAGACUCCUACGGGAGGCAGCAGUGGGGGAUAUUGGACAAUGGGCGAAAGCCUGAUCCAGCAAUGCCGCGUGAGUGAUGAAGGCCCUAGGGUUGUAAAGCUCUUUUACCCGGGAUGAUAAUGACAGUACCGGGAGAAUAAGCUCCGGCUAACUCCGUGCCAGCAGCCGCGGUAAU
rnacentral:rRNA from 1 species